rnacentral:snRNA from 1 species
UGGAUUACGUGGCAGGAGAGACACCUUGAUCGUAAGGUUUUUUUCCCAGGGUAAGACACAGCUAUUGCAUUCUGGUUAUGAUGACCCCUGUAAUUUCCCCAAAUGCAAGAAACUCAACUACAUAAUUUGUGGUAGGUUGUGCACGCU